rnacentral:rRNA from 1 species
GACGAACGCUGGCGGCGUGCUUAACACAUGCAAGUCGAACGGAUCUUCUCUGGACGGUAAUGUUUGGGGUUGGUUAGUGGCGAACGGGUGAGUAACACGUGAGAAACCUGCCCUGAAGACGGGGAUAACUGACCGAAAGGUCUGCUAAUACCCGAUGUCCUCGCGUGAUCGCAUGGUUGUGUGAGGAAGUGGAUUCCGCUUUAGGAGGGUCUCGCGGGCUAUCAGCUUGUUGGUGAGGUAAUGGCUCACCAAGGCGACGACGGCUAGCUGGUCUGAGAGGACGACCAGCCACACUGGGACUGAGACACGGCCCAGACUCCUACGGGAGGCAGCAGUGGGGAAUCUUGCGCAAUGGGCGGAAGCCUGACGCAGCAACGCCGCGUGUGGGAUGACGGCUUUCGGGUUGUAAACCACUUUCAGCAGGAACGAAAUUGACGGUACCUGCAGAAGAAGCACCGGCCAACUACGUGCCAGCAGCCGCCGUAA